UUUUUAGAGUAAUUUGAGGACGUCCCGAACUCUUCGCUGUGUUUUUUCUUCGUCUCUCUUCUCCAAUCGUAGUUCUCUUUUCUUUUCUGAGAGGCUAUCGCUGUAUCGCAGUUCUCUGGCUUCACGCCAUGAACCCUUCCCCACCGACAGCGUUUGACACAUUUGACCAACAAAGCUUCGUACAUUAGCAAUACCGACAAAGACCGUUCUUCCAAAUAGACCUUUAAGACCCUCUGUUUUAGAGAAAAAACUCUUUCUGAUACUACCACUCGAGUUUUUCAGAUGCCACGCCAACACAAACCUGCAAGACACCAACACAAACCGGCAAGACAGAAGAGAGCCCUUCACAAUACAACUUUACUUUCCCCAGAAAAGAAAAUUAAGAAGGUGACAUGACAAUAUACCACCUCGGUGCAACCAAAUACAGGAUGAUACAUUCUACAAGGUGAGAUCAGGGGAUACACGGCUUAUACUCUCGCUUACAAUCCUGCCGUAGAGGAAGAAGAAAAGACGCCAAAGAUGUAUAACAUGCCAAAGAUGUAUAGUUGCCCUACAUGGCCUAACACACCUGCCUGGAUAGUAGAUACAUCCUCGGCGCACCACCGCUGCCGAUCCUCGCGCGCCGCCAAUGAAGCUUGGAAGAAAAUUAGCAGCAUGGGCUACAUGCUGCCGGCAGUAUUAGGCCAUUGUUGGGGGGGUAUACUAGGGAGGAACCCUCAAAGAGUUCUCCAUGGGAAAUGCUGGAUUAGGCUCCAUUUAUAGAGAGCACGGGACUUCGUUUCAGCGAGUGGAAAGCUUAGGUGGCCGAGUGACCUAAGUGAGGUAUCUUCCUUCAGCAUAUUCUUGAGCAUAUGUGAACUUCUGCCUUUUCAUGCCCCAUGCUUUGAUCCGCUUUGGAGUAUUCAAAGCAUAUUCCAUGCUUUUUCGUGUGACUUUUGGUCCUUGUUUGAAAUGGAAUAGAUUUAGCUGAUUGGGAGUGGUCUCUGUACGUGUUAGGGUGGCUUGACGAAGCAUGGGCUGGAAAGUUAUUUCUUUGGUGUAUGCUCAUCUAGAUGAAAUCUUGUUCCGACCUACUAAAGCACCGUGUCUGUUUCCCCUGCUCACGGGGCUGGAGGAUUGUAUUUGUAUGCUCCUGAGUUUUUGUUUUUGUUUUUGGAACCCUAUACUCCUGAUUUUUUUAGGAACAAAUUUCAAGGAGCAUCCUGGCAAGUAAAUCAUGAUACUCUGUCCAACAAAAGAUGUCUCAAGUUUGUCAAAAUUAUGGUAUAUCUAAACAUGACUUAGUGUAUAGAUGCAUUUAAAUUUAAUCAAAGUUGAGACAUCCUUUGUUGGACAGAUGAAUAUUUAGUUUUUUCCUAUUUUUAUAAAAAAUAUGGAGAAAAAUGAACAGUGUUCCAUUUUCCACAGGAGGACGAUAAAACCAUCUGUCAAGUGUCAACCUUACGCUUUGAUUUUUUGUUGUUGCCUUUUUUAAAGAAAACUUACGCUUUGCUUUGUUUUUUGAGAGGAAAAAACUUACGCUUUGCUCUGGAACGGGGGAGGCAAAUCGCAAUCAAGUGGGUCUUGGGCUCAUGAAUCUCAACAGCAAGGCCCAAACAGGCCCGUGGAAGCACCGGCAGCGGGCAUGAACUAGGAAUUCCGAGUUGCAACUUGCAAAGCGACCCAACUUCCUCAAAAAGCAAGCAUCACAAUCAUGACCAAAAUAGUCCCCCCCCCCGGAAAAAAACAACUCCCGUUCCUACGAUACGAUCCCCUUCAGAUCCGCGCGCCCCUCCCCGUCGUCGUCCUCCUCCUCGAAUCCAUUCGAUUCGAUUCGAUUCCCCGCAUCGACCGGUACCAAUUCCGCGCUUUUUUCUUUUGAUCGCCUUGAUGUCCCGCCUGUGAUCCGCCCCCUGUUUCUCUAUCGCCAGCUAGCCGCCGGUAGGAUCGGGGCGGGAGAGCGAUGGCUGCCGCGCCGCCGGCUAGGGCUCGCGCCGACUACGACUACCUCAUCAAGCUCCUCCUCAUCGGCGACAGCGGUGAGCGCCUCCUGCCCCUUCCAGAUCUCUCCUCCCGGCAUGCUUUUACUGCUGUGUUUUAUGUGUGCGCGUUCGCGUGAGAGGCAAUGGCUCGUAAGGGAAUGCUUGUUGUGUAUAGAUUGGGUUUCUGCGUUUGUUCGAUUGGUAGUGGAAGCAUGUGGCUUUGGUUGCUGGUAAUUUGCUGGUGGUAUCGGUAGCUGCGAUCUGUGAUUAAUUUGCUGAUGCCGAUUAGAAAAAAAAAGCCUGAACGUAACCAUGGAUGGUUUGGCAAUGCCAAUGAUGUGAAGAAUUCACCAUUAUCCUCUUCCUUGGUUGUUGAGCUAGUGAGGAAGGAUUGGAGCAGCAUGAGCCGCUAUUGAACGCACUGGAAAGUGAGAAGUUCCCAUGAUCUGAUCAAGCUAUCAACAGAGUGAGGGUGGCUUGCUAAUAUCUUACUGGAUGUUCUUUUUGUUUUGAUGGCAGAUGUCUAGUCUCUUGUCUACACAAUAAUGUUGUUACAUUGGAAUGUGUUCAUGUGACCUCCCUUUGGUCAUUAGGGAUGCGGGGGUGUUUGAAUUGGGGUUACUUUUUUAGGGAGCCUUACACAAGCUUGGACAAAAAAUUACCCCCCAUACAAACAGGCCCUACAUGGUAUCCAUUUUCUGUUGAUGUGUUCACUUGCGUGGUGGGGAUCUGGAGAAGGGGUGUUUUCGCCCUUCUGCAAGUACAAUGGCCUCAUACUUUAACCAAGGCGACAUCUAGGUUGCGGUUGGUAUUGGACUGAAUCCUCACAAUGUCGUUUGCACUGCCUGCUUUUUCCUACUUUAUUGUUUGGCUAUCCAACAUAUGCAGUUAACUGAUGUCGCGUUGCGUAAGCAUGUCGGCAGGACAGAACUUUCAAGAACAUCUACGGAGAAAAACACAAGGGUUGUGUCACUCGCAGAUCUGGCUCCUUCCGUGAGGCGUUUGUGGCGUGUUGUCGGCUGCAAUUUUGGUUCUUGUGGCUCGGUUUUGGCAGUAUUUGGGAUGUGCGUCCUGUGGUCUGGCAGUAUUUGUUUUCAUACUUAGUACGAUGGUGGUGUCGGUCCAUGGGGCUCCAGACCUAGUUUAGCAAGACGGUGUUAACCUGUUCUUGUUUUCGCAUGCUUUUGCCUAAUUAACUGAGCAACUUUCUUUCUUAAUGAAAGGACAGAGAACCUGCUUGUUGGUAAAAAAAAAAGACAAGUGUCCCCUAAGAACCUUCACUCAAUGCAAUGUAGUGUAGACACGUUCAGCAUUAAAAUUUAUGUUGAGUUUUUCCCCCUUUGAGGACAUAACUAGUUGUCAAUGGGACCUACAUGAUGACCAGUUAGGAUCAUAAUAAAUCUGAACCACUACAACCUUAUAAUCACCAUUGUUUAUUGUAGUAGGUGUCGUCGCGCACUUGCUUGGAAACUAAACUUGUGGUGUCCUUGCUUGACUAUUCGGUCACCUUGGUGUGCACGGUAAGCAAAUAAGGAACGCGAGAGUGGUCUCCAUCAAUUAGCGAAUUUUGGUCCGGAUGGGAUUUGCGAGUAAACUAGAAUUUUUGUCUGGAUGGUAUUUUAGAGUCAAUUAUAUCAUUCUCCUCAAAUGGAGGGGGUGGUUAGGUUGGAGAGGUGGUAGAACGAAGUUACAAUCCUGAUGCCAGGCAGUUUACCCUCAGUUACAUUGUACAGCUGAGGGCAAGUCAGCCAUUUCCUCUCUACCUCCACGAGUAUAUUCGCAAUCCAAGUGAUAUGUUUUUUUGAAAGAAAACUGUAAGGGAGACCCCUACAGUAUAAUAGGAACCUAAAUUCGCAUCCUUGAGAACUUGAACCCAGGUGGGGGAUUGUAUAUCUACUCCCCCAACCCUUACAAUCUAAGUGAUGUCCUGUACAACACGCCGUACAAGCGCCACACUACGCUUUGUCACCAUCCCGAAUAGGCCUUCUGGGAUAGUCCUUUCCCCAUGUUGCUCAACCAUUGCCUCUUCCGUGCACACACCGUCAUCACCGGAUCGCCCAACCAAGGUGGUCUUUGUUGAGUCAUUUGACGUUUAUAUGUCUUGCACUCUUGGUAGUGUUUGUUUUUCUGUUUGUACUAUAUGAGCUUGGCAUUGUUUUCUGUUUGUGGCUUUUGUAAAAUCUUGCAUUCGUGAUUUGCAGCAUAUUUGUUCACUUUAUUCUUUUGCCAAUUUCCUGAUGACAUCUUUCUUCUAUUUUCUAUGUAUCUAGGUGUUGGUAAGAGUUGCCUCCUUCUACGGUUCUCUGAUGGCUCCUUCACUACUAGUUUUAUUACUACAAUCGGGUAUUUUUUCUUCAGAAUUAUCAUUUUUUACAUCUUUCUAGUUUCGCUCGGAAAUCAUUUGCUUUCUUUUUUGGUGCCCUGUUUAUCUCACAUCAUUCCCAUGCACAGUAUUGACUUCAAGAUAAGAACAAUUGAGCUGGAUGGCAAGCGCAUUAAGUUGCAAAUUUGGGAUACUGCUGGUCAGGAGCGAUUCAGGACUAUCACAACAGGUGCAAUGUUUGUUUCCCUUUGUGCUAGAGACUAGUUCUACGAAGCUUGUAUGGCAACCCUUUUCUGAAGUGAUGUUCAUUUUGUUUCUCAGCAUACUACAGGGGAGCAAUGGGUAUCUUGCUUGUUUACGACGUCACGGACGAGUCAUCUUUCAACAGUACUGUCCUUUAGUACAUUCUACAAAGCUUCAGUGUGGAUAAUUUUGCCAUAUUUUCUUUUAUUUAUCGGUAUUUAAGUUUAUUUUAACAUGCAGACAUACGGAACUGGAUACGCAACAUUGAGCAACAUGCCUCUGAUAACGUGAACAAAGUUUUGAUAGGCAACAAGGCUGAUAUGGAUGAGAGUAAAAGGGUACUGAUCCAGGCAUCCUUUCCCUCCAAUGUUAUCUGCUUCCUUCUUGUCUACUCCUUCCGUUCUUGAAUUCAUGACAUUUUCGAAGUUCACACAUCAACCAAGAUGCAUGUACAAAAAAGACUAUUAACCAUUUUUAUUUGUCAAUUAUUACUUUUGGUUGUUGUCUGUUAUUCUAGUCCAUACUAACAAAUGGCAUUGGAAAUAAUAAACAAUAGGGGAAAUUUUGGUAUGAAGUUAUCUUGGAAUAGCAGAAUGACAUGCAUCCAAAUUUUGUUCCUGGAUAUAGAUGUUCGUAGGCCAUGGUAGUUGUGAGGAACGAAGGGAGUUAUAUUAAGUACUGUCUGCAUGCUGUUACACAUUUGAUAUCAUUGUUCAAUGGCUUCAAUAUAUGUUCAUUUGCUAUUGCAGGCUGUUUCUACUGCACAGGGACAAGCACUAGCCGACGAAUAUGGCAUCAAGUUCUUUGAAACUGUAAGUUACUGUGUCAAAGGUCUGAUCUUGUCACUGAUGAUCUUUUUUAAUUUUAGUUUGUGCUGUAUCUUUCAGAGUGCCAAGACAAACCUUAAUGUGGAGCAAGUUUUCUUUUCCAUUGCCCGAGAUAUUAAGCAGAGACUUGCUGAGACCGAUUCCAAGCCUGAGGUAUAGAUCAUACUGAGCAUUGUCUUGACGAUUGCUAGAGCUGUUUAGAUUUUGAAUCAAAUUACAUUGUUGCUUAUAGGACCAAACAAUCAAGAUUAACAAGACAGGCCAAGGUUCUGAGGAUCCAGAGUCUCAGAAAUCUGCUUGCUGCGGCUCAUGAGGAAUAGACGGACUUCACUGUCAUUUAUUAUUUUAACUCUAUCUGUUUUAUGUUCUGCUUGUCAUUAUAGGAAGAAUAUUAAGAACAUAACUAUGAUGUGGCUGUUCUUGUUCUUUUACUUGUGUUCACUUCCAUUCUUUGCAGCAACUAUUACUUUGAAUGUAGUUCUAAUUUCUUGGGGUUAUUGCAUGUUGUUUUCAAUCAUGGUUAACAUCUGCUCUCUGGUGUGUAGUCGAUUUCAUGCCAUUGCUUCGUCAGUUUAUCUAUUGAUAUAUUAACUCUAUUAGAAUGUAGAUAAUAGUUGCAGAGAUUGUUGUGCUAUUUGUGUAGUUGGAUGAUGUAGUAGCUAGGAACAACUUUGUGCCAGGGUGCUUUUUUCUAGCAAGGGAAUGCUUCCCCUCGUAUUCAUCGAGCUUGCAACGUGCAUAAUAGUGUAGUAGAAAGUGUCUUAGGUUGCCCAUGAAGCAUGUACCCCACCUUGGGAAAAUGCAGAUUGCGGGAAACAUGUUUUGUGCACUUGAAUUUCCUUUGGACCACUGUCGAACACUAGAACUCGUUUUGCCCUAUUGUCCCCUCUGUUUUUUACUUAGCAAAAAUAGUUGUCGUACGUGACAUCUACAAAAUCGUGCCUGAAGUAACAGUCUUUAUAAAUGGCUGCCGCUGGUCCAAGAGAAUUACAACCACGUUUCAUACCUUCGGUCAUCUCCAUGCAAUCGGAAUUAACCAUGACUAGGUUGCACCCAUGAGGAAGAGGCCGCCCCGGAGAGCCGUCACGUCUGCAGUAGCCGCAUACUCAACAAACUGAGAUUUACAAUUUUAUGCCGCCAGGAAGAAACCAUGAUUGUCCUGAAUAAUUGCUCUUGUACCACCAUCACCGGAUUCGGCAUCAUAAGCUGCAUCUACGUUGAGCUCUACGCAAUUCUCCUUCGGUUUUUGACAUCCACGCCUUAGCAUGCCCGACUGUCCCUUCUUUGUCCUAUUGGUCCCUCUGUUUUGUUUGGUUUGGUCGUUGGUAUGAUAACGAUUAGAAGACAUUUGAUGGACAUGAAAUCUUUUCGUUGGAGUUCUGUCUCCGUGCCGGUUUCAUCUGUUACAUGGUGGCCUGACCGUCCUGGGUUUACUUUUUCUAAUUUGGUUGAAGUCCACCUUGAAUUGUCUAUCCUCUGACUUUGUUUCUGAAGAAAUGGUAUCCUUCAACUUACUUGAAAUUGACCCACUUAUCAAAAUGAUCACCAUGAGAAGCAAAGAAUAUUUCCAUGUUUAAACAUCUAAUGGUUUUCAAAAGGAAUACUACACUAUGCCUUUUUCUGAGGAAGAAAGGAAUAUUGUACUCCCUCCGUCCGGAAAUAAGUGAUUUGGAUCUGUAUACAAAUCCAAGUCAUUUAUUUUUGGAAGAUUGAGUACUUCUGUACUAAUAACAAGUUAACGAUCUCAUCUCCGUUAAAUGAAGAGUUUUAACGAUCUCAUCCCAUGUUGAUCAGCCCAGUUUUGCAUGUGUCAGUCAUUGUCGAAUGGUGGGCAUAGAAAACUAAUCAAAAGGAAGUAAAUUUCAUGAAGUAUUAUUUACAAAAGGAAAUACAAAAAAAAGUUCAUGUUUGAUUAUAAAAAAACACCGGCCUAUGGACAUCUAUAUCGGACAUGAUGAAAAAGAACCCCCAAACUUACAAAAUGUAACAAAAUGAAAAAGGGUCAAAAAAUCAAUAGAACAGUUUAGCAGUGCGCCGAUCGAAACGCUCAAAGCGAGCAGUCCAACAUGGCUAGCGCUUUAGGCACACCCUGCCGGGCGCCGAGCCCCGCCGCCACGCUCCGGCACUUGGCGCAGUUCUCCGACGGCGUCAGGUUCAAGUCCAGGCAGAUCCCGCCGUCGGCGUCGCAGCAGGCCGUCGGCGUCUCAGGCGCCGCCGCCUUGCAGCCGCUGGUGGGCGCGUCGGCCUCGGCGCGGUGCCUGCGCAUGUGGCCGCCCAGCGCCUGCCCGACGGCGAACUCGAGCCCGCACACGGGGCACUCGUGCGCCCUGGGCUUUGCCGGCACCGGCAUCUGCUGCGGCUGCCGCGGCAGCGUGAUCUGCCGCCCCAGGCAGAGCGCUGCCGCGUCGUUCACGAGCGCGUUCUGGGGCUGCUGCUGCUGCUGCAGGAGCCUGGGGCGCUUGUGGCUGGCGCGGUGGCCCCCGAGCGCCUGGAAUGUCGGGAACUGCCGGCUGCACGUCUUGCACUCGAACACGCGCCCGCGCAUCGCCAGCGGCGCCUGUUGCUGCUGCUGCUGUUGGUGUUGGUGGUGCUGCGCCAGGAGCAUGAGCACGCGGGCGGUGUCCAUCUCCCACACGCCCCUGCCCCUCUUGCUCAUGGCUCUCUCUCGAUCGAUCGCGCGCGCUAUCCGAAAAACGGAAGCAAGCAGCAGAUAAUCAAAAGUCGCAGUAGUAUCUAUCAACUUCGCGGCUAGCUUGCCUUCUUUAUCUGUACUGUGAAAUGCAAUUGCGGAUAUGGCUCGUAUGGCCGAUGGCUCCUAUAUAUACAGUCCAGCGUAGCUCGGUGUUUGGUGGCACGUAGGGAUUAACGGCCCGGCACGACGACUACUGGUGGCUAGCCAGUGGCUGUUGUUGGGUUUCGAAUAAACGUAUGUACGGCUUUUUUCUAGACGUGGACGUGUGUGUGUAGUACUUUUCCGAGCUUUUGACCGCGCGAUGUCUGAGAGAGAUUAGUUACUACAGUAGCAGUACGUACUACUGCUCCAAGUACCCGGGUACUAUGCGUUCGUUCCAACCUUUUUCAGGCGACUUCCGCUGCUAGCAAGUCUAGUCAACAUGUGUGUGUGUUCCAGCCAGAUGACCCGCUCUUCUAGAGCGGCUGGCUAAGCACAAAGUAAUUACUCCAGACUGCAGCACGGGCCAGGCCAAGCCAGCCUCCUCAGCGGUGCGGUGCGUCUUGCGUGUGAUGCCUAGCUAGUCGCCAGUGACGUACGUACGUGUGCGCAGGUGGCGUCCGUGUCCUGGCUAGGCUAGCUUUGUUUUCGAUUCCGUUCGGCUUGUUUUACUUCUCCCCGCCGCGCGCGACGAUUUCGACCGAUCCGCGAGACCGGCACGGGUUUCCAGUAUUUCACACUUGGUUGGUGUACAUCACUAGUACUCGCUUCUGCUAGCUUCCUCUGAUCCUUCCUUCCUGGCCGGGCUUCGCUCUGCAUUGCCUACGUACAGUAAUGGAAUUUAUUGUGGCGACUUGGCCGGGCGGGCGGAUCGACACGACUCGACUCGAUUAAUUCAAUCGUCUGGAACGAGCAGCGGCAGGCAUAUGUCCCUGUUCAGAUGAUCAGGCUGAAUUCUUCUUCCUCCAAUCCUAAAUUGUUAUCGAAAUAUUACAUGUAUUUGUAUCUAGACGUUUUUUAAAAUAGAUACAUCCAUAUUUGACAAAUUUGAGUCAAUAAUUUAGAAUCAAAGGGAGCACGUGGAUUAGUUUACAAACUUGAUCAUAGCAGUCUCUAGGCCAGAUAAUGUUUGUGCUCAGGCUGCUGCUCGAUGGAUCGUUAGUUGUUAAUUGUGGCUGGCUGCUAAUCGGCAGCGUCCACGUUUGACUGGCAAUGUUCAUGCUUUCAGUAAAGUAAACCCUUGCAAUUCUUUGUAUAAUGAACUUAAUUAGGUCUUUUUAUUUGAUCUCUGUGUGUGGUGUGUGGCAUCGAACAACUAAUGCCGAGCUUCCGCGAACUAGCUAAACUUCGCAUGCAGCAGCCGAUCGAGUCAAAUGUCAAUUGUAGGUUAGCUCGCGUUCUUAGCUUUGCGCCCAUGUAUAUGCAGGAGUAGACUUUCAGAACUUGUGAAAUAGUACACCUAACCUCGGAGGCAAACCGUAUCAGGCAUGUGUGGAUUUUGGUGCCAACUGAUUGACUAAUCCGGCCAAUUAAGUGGAAAAGGACAGAAGGAAAAAUAGAAAGAUGAAGCUAGGCUGCACAGGUUUGGUGAUUCAAGACAAGUGAUGCUUCUAUCGUCGUUAGGUAGGGUGCAGUCCCGGUCUCGGCGGCAAAACCAUUUUGACCGAUUGAUCGGAAAGAAAAAGGAACUCAAAAGGGUACUGUAGACUUUUUAUAAUGGUAAAAACCAAUUAAAUAAAAAAAAUCUAUUUUUCUCAUGUCCCGCCAGCGUCAGGAGUGGGGCAGACGCGGAAGAGAGAGUGAGGCAAAGAGCAGGCGCUGGAGACAGAGAGCGAGCGACUUAUAAAUUCUUAUAAAUUCUAAAUUGACCAUGCAAUGUGAGUCGUGUUUGAUUUUGGAAGAGAAGGAGUGUGCUGAAGCAGAAGUAAUGUGUAUUUUGUUUGGCUCGCAGUUGGUCCCUUCUAACUAAGCAUUUCCUGCCCAUAAAUUACUAAAUUAGACAUACAUAUACGUCAGACCAUGGGAGUCCAAUGCAAUAUUUCCUCUUAUUAGUGUAAAUAGAGAUUUCAUUACAUUAACAAAGAGUUGUUGCAAUAGUUUUGACAUGUUUUAAUUGUUUUGACGUCCAAAAUUAAACCAAAUUUUUUAAAAAAACAUAUCAGUAGGUGGUAUACCGACCACAGACAAAAAUAAUGUUCUUUCGCGAUUCGUGUGGCUCCAAUGCGCAUCGAUCUACCAUUUUUCUAUUAAAUUUGUCAACACAAGCACCUUAUAACUUUAAUUGUACGUGUAGACCGACUCCUGGCUUAGCUAGCAUGAUGCGUGACUCAUGCUUUCACAAAGUAGUCCUAGCUAGCGUCACCAACCAUCCCUGCACGUUUUAACAAAAUCUUGGACUCGGGCCAACAACUCACUGACGACUAACUCAGCGUGUGCCUACAUUCAGCAACACACAACAACAACCCGGCACGAUUCAUCGGACGUGCUCGUUGAACUAAAUUUUUUAUUAGUACAUGCUAGCUAUCACGAGCGAGCUAGAUCAUGCUUGCAUAUGUAGAGGAAUCGAGCUAGAUCCACAGCUGCAUACUAUAGCAAGGCAAGGGCUGCACGAUUCUGGCCGAGUGCAAAAAGUCAGCUCGGCAUAUUCAAUCGUGCGACUUCUGCAAUGGAAUUGUUAGUGACUCAGGUGUCUUGCGUUUGUUUUCUUUUUUUGUUCCAUUCUGGUUGCUUGAAUAACCAGCUUGUAGUCGAUGGAAAAUAAAUCCUUUUCAAGGAAAGAAAAAGUACUCCCCAGGAACACCUGUGGCGAAUGGCGACUGGUCCGACGAGGCGUGAUCCACAAGAACGCAAUAUAUCGGCCUUAACUGGCACGUGCUAGCCAAGAACAACGCCGCACGCGCCAUAUAUGAUCUGGACCUUGGAAUUUGGAGUCCACAGUAUAGAUCGAUUCUUAUAGCAAAAAGAGAAAAGACAGUAUAGAUCGAUCGAGUUCAUGCAGUCCAGCCGGGAGCCCGGGGCCGAAGAAAAAAGCUUUCAUAUAUGGGUCAAUGGCUUAACUAGCUAGGUCGCCAAAGGUUAUCUGCAGUUCUGGACGGAAUUCUUCUAGCCCUUUGCCUAACUAUUACGCUUAAGGUUUUUUUUAAAAAUAAAUUUCAUUAAUCAACUGAGUUUAUACAAUCAGCGUCAACAGCAGCCAUGAUGUCAUCCGGACCAUGUCUAACCCAGCUACCAGUACGCUUAUUAACUCUAGCAAUGUUUGCCAGAAUAUGGUUUACACAAUUUUGAUAACUUUGUUGGUGGUGCGCUUAAGGUUUGUUGGUGGUGGCGCGUUUCCUAGCUCGAGCAUGGUUCGUUGUAUGUGGUAGAAAGAUAAUACUCCGUAUAAAAAUAAAAAUGUACUCUCUCCGUUUCUAAAUACUUGUCGCUGUUUUAGUGCAAAUUUGAACUAAAACAUCGACAAGUAUUUAGGAACGGAGGGAGUACAAUGUAUGCGUAGAUUAGCGGUGAGAAUGAGAUUGAUCAUGUGAAGAGGUAUAUAUGUUCACACAUGUGUUCGUUUCUUCGAUGCUUGUUUUGUCAAGUUAAGCUAGCUACUCACUCUACUUGCCGAGUCAAAAUCAAACGAGGGAAUGUGUCUGUCACGGCAGCUGCGACCGACUGUCAAAUCAAGAUCUAUCUAUGUGCCUGGAAUUACGUACAUCGGACGUGGCAUCGCAAUCUCAGGCCAGAGUUUAAUUUGUUAAUGGCGAACAACACAACAAUUGAUGUGAGAACCAAGGUUAUACUCAUACAUGCAUGAUGGUGAUCUAGGAGCAAAAUGACGCAGCAGAAUAUUCUGCGCAAAAACAAAAGGCCCGUAAGGUUGAUUAGGUUCCGGCGUCGUGGACGGCAUGAAACCCGUUGUCGGCCGGGGCAUGCAGUUUUCGGUUUUGCUAAAGCGGCAGCUCUCUUGCUGACGCUUCCUGUGUAUAAUUUGGCGCGCCGUAUAAUUUCUGGAUUAAUUCUAUUUCUAGGUAAACUAGAGCAAAUAUUGAUGUUGAGCUCCUUCUCAAAAUAUUGAUGUUGAACACACUUUUUGCCGUUCACCUUCCAUCAAAACAAAUCGAGAAUACAUGUGGAUAUUUCUCUCUUUCUCGUUUAACUUUUGCUGCACAAUUGUCUCCGGAAUAGUAGUAGUAUGCAACUUAUGUACAGAUCUCCAACCAAUUAAGACGUGCAAAAGCCGGAACCUGUCUAGUUCAAUGACUGUAUUUGUCGGGAGAAUAAUCCAACUCCAACUAAGACGUGCAAAUGCCGGGACUUGUAUCUAGUUCCAUGACUGUAUUUUCCAGUAGAAUGAUCCAACUCCAAGUCUCUUUUGUGCUUCAUAAGGUUAAUUAGGAUGUGUACUAGUCAAGAGAAACCAAGUUCCGUCCUGUCUGCGUGUAAACGAACACAUUUGGAAGAUCGACAUCAGAAGAUCCGGUGCCGCUGUCGAGUGUUGAAGUGAGUAUACAGAUUAGUAGUACUGCUGACUGGCUAAUCCAUCUGGGAAAAGAAGUCAACACACGGGGUAGGACUACCAGAUCAGUUUAUAUCCGGAGUUGAUUCGGUUUACUUUUCUGACUGCUGUCCAGAUUUUGCCGUCUUCUUCCGGGGGAGUCGAAAGUUGUUCUGUGUCGAUGAGUGUCCCAUACUUGGUCAUAAUACAAAUUAACAAAUGCUCGUGUAUAAAACUUUCUUGAUCCUUCAGUAUACCAGCACGUGUAGAAAAAUAGAAAACACGGAGUACUUAUGUUUGCUCGGUGUUGUGACUUGUGAGUAGGGGUGGGCAUAAAAACCGAGAAACCGAAACCGGUCACCGAAGAACCGGAAACCGAAGCUGAUUGGACCGAAACCGAAGAACCGUUUAAAACUUCGGUCAGCAAACUCAAAAAACCGAAGUCUGUUCGGUUAAUUCGGUCUCUUGCCUCGGUUAACCGAAAAAACCCGAAAAACCGAAGUUCAUUGCUGCAACUUUAAAAUUUAAUGUUUUCAUUGCAUGUUAGAUGAUAUUUACUCAUUACAUGUCUGUGUAACAAAAGAUUAUGUGUUUAUUUUUGCAUGUAACUUAAAUCUAUUUUCUGUUGUAAGUAGAAGAUUGAACUAAAUUUGUUUUCAUUAUUUUUUUUGCCGUAAACACAAUUUCGGUUAGUUCGGUUCCGAACCGAAAACCGAACCGAAUUUUCGGUUCUCAAAAUUUUUAAGAUAACUUCGGUCCUCAUAUUUAAAAAACCGAACCGAAAUUUCGGGUAUAACCGAACGCCCACCCGGACUUGUGAGCAUGAGGUGUGUUAGUGGGUCUCUCACUCUGUGUGGACUUCUUUUUUAGAGGAGUUUUGUUCUUCGGAAAUUAUAUAGAGCGAACGUUCUCCCUGGAACCUCCUAGCGCGACGCGAUGCUGGCCCUCGAUCUCCUCGCCUGACGCCCGCCGCUGCCGCGGGCUGCCCCCGCCCCCGACUGCACCUCGCGCUGCCCCGCCCCAGCCGCACGCCGCGCGCGCUCGCCCACGUCGCGCGCUGCUCCCGCUGCCGCCGUGCGCUGCGCUCGCCGCCCCUGUCGCCGCCGAGCACCGCCCUGCCCCGACGCGCGCCGCGCGCCGUCCGCGCUGCCCCAGCCGCGUCCACCGCCACGCGCCGUCCGCGCCGCCCCGGCCGCCGCCGAGCGCCGUUUCCGCGCCACCGAGCGCCCCCGCCGCGUGCUGCUUCCAUGCUGCGCUGCCCCUCGCCGCCUCCGAGCGUAAUCGCGCUGUCCCUCGCCCCCACCGCGCGCUGCCCCAGCUGCCGCCGUGCACUGCUCCCCGCCAGCGAGCGUCUAGCUGCGCACGCUGCCGGGGCUGUCCCUGCCACGGAGCGCACCCGCCGCGCACUGGCCCCCGCGGUGACCGUUGCUGCUGCCUCGCUCCUUACCGCCUUCAACUCCUUUACCGAGCUGGAGCAAGCUGCGGUGGACGCGGUCCCGGACGUGAUCCCUGUGGGUCCUCUCGUCGACCUUGAGGAGGAGGAGGACACGUCCUCCCGGAUGUGAUCCCCGCGCCGACACGGCGACAUGAUCAGGGCGCCAGAGGACUGCUCCAGGCGGCUGGACACGCGCUUACCACGUUAUGUCGUGUACGCCUCAAGGGGCAGCUUGUCGGUGCUAUCGGCGAAGGAGGUGGUCGGCAUCCACGGGGUGUUGAUGCCCUUCCUUCCUGUGGCGGAAUGCUGGCAACUCAUGUGCAUUAGGGAUGGUAAUUUAAUUAAUAUAAAUUGGUGCAGAUGGUUAUUUUUGUUUACUACGAGUGGCAAUUUAUCGAUAGAGUUUGCACUUUGUGUUCGUUAGGGGCUACAUGAAAAUAUGAUUUGUGUGUGGUCGUUUGAAUGUACAUUACCUCAAUUGGAGUGAAGACGAUACGAGAUGCCGUGAUGGAUGAUAGAUUUGACUGAAAUGGAUGUACAUGAUAAUUUGUGUUCACUAUGGGGGUGAUUUGUGAUCACUGGUGGUGGCAAUUUGUGUUCAUUACGGGUGGCCAUUUGUGAUCGCCAGGAGUGGCAAUUUGUGUUCAUUACGGGUGGCCAUUUGUGAUCGCCAGGAGUGGCAAUUUGUGUUCAUUAUGGGUGGCCAUUUGUGAUCACUAGGAAUGGCAAUUUGUGUUCAUUACGGGACAGCAAUUUGUAAACACCAGUAAGUAGCAUUUUGUGUUCAUUACGGGUGGUAAUCUGUGAUCACUGGGGAUGGCAAUUUAUAUUCAUUCUGGGUGGCAAUUUAAUUUAAACUAGGAUGGCACUUUGUGUUAAUUAGGAUGGCAAUUUGUGCUAAUUAUGGUGGCAAUUUGUAUUAAGCGGGGGUGACAAUUUGUGCUCUUUAGUGGUGAUAUUUUUUUACAUUAGAGACGAAGGGAGAUGAGGCAUGUGUGAGAUUUGUUCAAAAUGGACACCGUAGCUCAAUUUGAAGCGUCGGAGAUGCGACAUGUAGUGCUAGGUGGUAGAUUUUGACUGAAAAUGGAUGGAGACGGUUAUUUUGUGUUCAUUAGAGAUGUCAUUUGGAUUCAACAAUGGGUUAUAAUUCGCGGUGAUAGUUUUCGGCCAAAUGUUUAGUUCCACGUGUCAUAAGUAUGAGUUGGUUCGACGAAAACAAAUCGAGAUACCUUUUGAUUUUUUUUAAACUUUUCUAUUCUCUUUUAUCACGGCCAACCGUCGUGCGUGGGCACUGCCGCCUGCCCACAGCCGCGCCUCGACGUCGCGCAACUGAAGCCUCAUGCCGAGCCACCUCCCCUGCUGCACGUUGAACUGUUGUCGUGCGCCGUCCCAGCCGCCGACCGCCCCCACGCCCCCACGCUGCGGGCCGUCGUGCCAGCUCGCUAGCGCGCGACCGUCGCAGUCAAGUCCCGCACAUAAAAAAAAUUAGAAUUAUGGGUUAUGCCCUCUUCUCUCUCUUCAAGCUAAUAUAAAUGUAUUUGUAUACGUGUAACAUGGAUUACUAUGGUAGCACAAUGCAUGGCAAUGUGAGGGUGUGUGCAGGCACUUGCAUGAUGCGAUGCAUGCAAUCAAAGAAUCAAAGGCGUGGGCAUUGCAGUUGCUCAUUUACAUGCGGUUAGGCUAAUGGCCGGCAGUUAACAAAGCGCAAAUAGCCAAAUAGCUUCGCGCGCUGGGGGUACAGCGCGAACUGCGUCGCGCGCGCGGACGGUAGGGCGCACGGUCGGGCGCUAUUCCACUCCUUUGUUCUUUGCAGGAAAAAAAAACUGAACAAAAAAGAGUAACAUUUGGGACAAGAGUCUCGGCCCGUGUGUUGAGAGAUACUGAACUGCAGCCCAUAGGCCAUGUUAGCCCAACAAGGAUGGGCCAUAGUUUGGGCCGGGUCCAGAUAUUACAACGAAUGAACCUAAAGAAAAAUCGGAAUAUUUACACGAAAGGGCAAAAUAAGAACUUCUCCUCGUUGUCAUUUCUGUUCGUCUUGGUCGCCUUCCCUGCCCUUGCGCUUGCACAGCACAGCAAUCGGCGACGCAAUCCCUCAGGCCAUCACUCGCUUCUUUCCCCACGCUCGCAAAUCUACCUUUCCGAGAUGGUAAUCCCUUCACCCGCUCUCUUCUCUCGCAGAAUUUUACCGCACGCGUCUCUGUUUCUUCGGUUACUUAGGGUUUAUGAUGGUAGAAUCCAGUAUUUCUCCUGCACUCUUUAUCUUCUUCUCAGCGAAAUUAGCCGUUCUGCAAGUUUUAGUUUCCCAAAUUUUGCCUCGGAGUAAUUUCUAAGAAGUGUUGGCUUUGAUCUCUGCCCGUGCAGGGGUCCUGCCCUUCGGUUAAGAACAUUCUUGUGCUGGAUUCCGAAGGGAAGCGCGUGGCCGUGAAGUACUACAGCGAUGAAUGGCCCUCCGUGUCUUCCAAGUUAGCUUUCGAGAAGUCAGUCUUUGUGAAGACCCAGAAAACGAGUGCUAGAACAGAAGGUGAUUUCCCAGUAAAAAAUUUAAGUGUGGUACUUCUCAUUAUCUUUGUGCAUUGGAAGUAAAAACGAGUUUAUGUUGUCUUGAUGGAGCGCUUUUAUUGUGUACAAUGACCGCCAUGUUCCUGAGAAUAUUGAUUAGCAGCUAGCAACAAACCAAAUAGGUAUACCUUUUUAUACUGUUUUUACACUGUUAUUGUCAACGGUUUGUCUAGUUCCAGCCUUUAAGGGGUAUAUUCAUGUGUAUGUUAUUGUUGGGCCAUUGUGCCGUCCCUUUUAAUCCUUCUCUUGCUGCUUUGGACAAGGAUGUUAGUCAGUCAACUUUCUGUGCUCCCUUUUUUCCCCAGCAGCAUGUUAGUCGGUGGUCCAUAUAUUUUGCAUUGUGUUAUAACCUGCUUUCGCCUUUAAUCUAUCAUGGUCAAGUUUCUCUCUGAUUUUACAACAACCUUGCCAAUUGCUUUUGCACUUAAUCUUUCAUGGUCAAGUUUCCCUCUGAUUUUAUAACAUAGUAUUAGGCUCUAGUGUAGCAUUUAAAGAACAAGUUACCUUUUUAUUAUGGCAUCUGAAUUCUGUAUUUUUCUUAAAAUUUACUCAAGGAUUCAAGUUGUGGUGAAAGACUGUAUCCACCACUACACCAAGUUAUGCACAAUGCCAUCUAAAUGUGCUGCUUUUCUCUGUUAAACAUUUGUUUUGGUAAUUUCAGUUACUCUGACAAGAAAAUGAUGUAAUUUACAUGCUGCUAGUUUGAACAGUCCAUUCAUCCAGCUAUAUAUGUCCAAUAGUUUACAUUGUCUGUCUUCCAUUUUGCAGCUGAGGUAGUAAUGUUUGAUGGUUACAUCAUUGUCUACAAGUUCAUCCAAGAUCUACACUUCUUUGUAACCGGAGGAGAUGAGGAGAAUGAGCUCAUUUUAGCGUCAGUUCUUCAGGGGUUUUCUGAUGCUGUUGGCCUACUUCUCAGGUCCUCUAUAAUUUUGCCAACAAAUAUUCCUUAUUGUUGUUUGUCACAUUCCAUAUUUGCAAGGCCAUUCUCUCUGGCUUUACUAAUCAAAGGGAGUAUUUUCUCUCAUUCCAGAAACAAUGUAGACAAAAGGACUGCACUCGAAAAUCUUGAUCUCAUCUUUUUAUGCCUUGAUGAAGUUGUUGAUGGAGGGUAAUUCCUGUUCUUGCACAUGCUAAGCUUUUAUUUUUCUUGAAAUUUGUUUUUAGUAUCAUGGCAAAGGAAUUCAACUAGCAUUAAUCCUUUGACAGUUACUAUCACACAUGUAGAGUUGUUGAUAUAAAAAAGACAAGAAACGCAUUAGACAAUUCCUUAUUUGGUGUUGGGCGUAAGUUUGUGAUGGUCAAUUCGAGGGUUGGGCAUUACUUGUAGCUGGUGUGGUUGUCAAGAAACUAACACACAACACACACCUGAUUUGUACAUCUUUCAGUAUUGUUUGGUAAAUCGCAUAAAAAAGGUAUCCUAGUUAAGCUAGUGCAGGCAAUCAGCUGUCAUCCUUUUUUAGAAAAAAUAGUUCAUUUUCAUGUACUCACAGUUCAAUCAGCUCGGUGUUAUGAAUUGUGGACCUGUAAAUAAUGGGUCCAAUAUACUUCAUUAUUCGUGAAUGGUUGUGCAGGAUUGUUCUUGAAACAGAUGCAAAUCUGAUAGCUGAGAAGGUAUCAGGUCAUGGAUUGGAAGGAGCUGGAUCAUUCACUGAGCAGGUAUAACACAGCUGUCAUAUUUUCUGUUUAAACUUCUCUAGUUCCAAAUGACCGAUUCUAUCCUCCACCUGCAGACAAUAAGCCAAGCCCUGGCGACAGCAAGAGAGCACUUUGCAAGGUCACUUCUCAAGUAAGAGGUUGGCAUCCUUCAGGUUGACGAUGAGCUGUUGUCGAAAUGGGGUCCCGUAGCUCAGUCCGCCCGAUUUGUGAGAAAGAAAGAAAGUGAACUGAAUCUUUGUGUGUGAGUUGAUCCGUUAUUGUGGCCGUCGACAUUUUGUUGCUGGGAUGUAUCUGCAGACCGACUGGUUAACUAGUCUAUUAAGAUUUUUCAGAAGCUUGUGUGCAGCAGAUCAUGUUGUUUCUACUCUGUUUGUUGUAUUACCGUCGAGCAGCAGCGCGACUUGUGUGACCUACAACUCUCAAGAUGGUUGGAAAAGCUGGAUUAUCAUAAUCCACCUCAAAGCCAAAAACAGCCUUAUAGGCCCAUCGAAACAAAGAUAUGAGCUCCUACAGUUCCUAAGAAAUGGUUGAGCCAUAAGAAUUUCUUAACAAAUCAAACAUGAGGCUACACUUGGUGCAACCUUCCUCAACUUUCUUUCGACAUCCUCUUCAAACAGCUUACCUGAGCAAUUCACUCUUAAGACUUCAAAAGGAAUACAUUAGACACGUCAAUAAAUGACUGAAGUACACUAUCUCAAGAGUAAUCAAGAUUCGCAGCACAAUUCUAUAACCUGUAGAUAUCCUUUGUUUCAUGUCAAGGAGAAAAAACAGGAAGAAGCAUGGAAAGCAGAAUCAUUUCGGCAAUUUGCUGUCAAGCUUGCUGACAUACUUGCAAAGCAUGUCCCUCUGUGCGACCGCACUGUCCACAGCCACAUUGCUGAACUGCUGCAUGUAGCCGACAUCGUGGUUGUGCGAUGCCGGUGUCCUAUCUCUCUGUGUGUCCUCGAGAUCGAUCAUGAUAUUGGUGAGCAGGCAGCAGGCAUAGAUGAUCCUCGGUAACCGGUGCUUGUCGGGCCUCCAGAGCUCUCCCUUGAGUACCUGCCACCUCUCCUUCAGCCUGGCCAUAGCACCCUGCACCACCAUUCUUGCUGCGGUGUGCCUCUUGUUGAAUUCCACUUGCGCUGGAGAUGGAUCAUGCUCUUGGUAUGGAGUCAUCAGCCAGGGAAGAAGAGGGUAGCUUGCAUCCCCGAUAAUGUAUUCCCUGACCACUGACCCUGCUGGCUCCCCGGGAAGCUCCAUUUGCUCCUCCAGCCUUGCACCUUUCUCACACAGCUUGUAGAAUCCCGAGGUGCGCAGAAUGCAAGAGUCAUCCAAGCUCCCCGGCCAACCACUGACAAUGUCUCUGAACCGCAUGUCAGGGUCUACAAUGGCCUGCAGGACCAUGCUGUUUCUGUUCUCGCCGUCAAGCCAGACAUUGCUGUUAGGCUGAGCUGAAGAGCACAUGAGGAUGUGUGUUGUGUCUAUGGCGCCGCAGCAGUUGGGGAGGCCCUGGAGCUUUUCAAACUUUGCUUUGAUGGUUGCCAUCUCCUCAGGACCAGGCCACUUCAGAUGACGGAUCCCAUGAUCCUCUAAGGAUUCAAUAAACUUCCAUGUGAUGUUUGAGAUGGCUGAAUGGUUCAUCCCGAAGCGAUUCCCUAUGCUCAGAAGUGGCUCACCAGUAGUCAGCCUUAACAGAGCAACAGCUACUUGAUCCUCGACACCUAGGAUCGUCUUGUCCCCAAACCUGAAAUUUCUGAAACUCUGCGUCUUUCUUGUGAAGUCCCCACUAAUAAGAGAGCAAAUGUAGUUGAAUGUCCCCCUCGACAUCUUGAAGACAGACUCAAAAUCCGGGCAGUCUUUGGAUUUAUGUCCUGUACAAACAACAGAUUAAAGCAUUACAGACCCAUCAUCUCAAUGUAUCUAAGUUUAUUGUAACAAGAAACUGUGUGUGAGGUGUAAUGUAGAUAUUUUCAAAUACAAAGGAUGCAAUUCCUUCUCAUGCUUUAGGAGAAGUCUUAUCCCUCAAUUUUUGCAGACUUUUGGCAAAGAAGACACAUAAGUUUUACGGUGAGUUAAAACUUAGAAGGAAUAAGGAAUGCAAUCUUAAAGAGAAUGGCCAGAGCCCAGAGGGUGCCCAUAAUAAAGCAGCAGAACAGUAAUACUGGGAUGUGCAAAUAUAAAAAUCCACCAACUCGUAGACAAGGAUACUGUAUCAGCAUACCUGGUGGAAACUAAAUAAAAUUAUGAAUGUGCUGGGCAACUAGUAUAAGAAAAAGUUACGCUAAGAGAAACAAAUUGUACGAGCAACAACUUCUGUGAGGAAAUCAACAAUUGAAGGUACACUAUCCAUGUUAAAUAAAUAAACUAAAAUAUCUCAUGCUGUAACUAUUCAUGUAUCUAUCUGGAUAAAUCACACUUGUUUAUACCAGAGUUUGAACAGGGACCUUGUGUAGCAUAUGAGUUUACCAAAGAUUUGAAAAAAGAAGAAGAUUCUCACUGUUCAUAAAGGGAAUUUAUGGAAGCAUAACUAUCAGUACCAAUGCUUCCACUGAUUAAGCUCAUUUUCAACAGAUAUGUACAUUUCACACAACACAAUACCUAGAACUUGAGGGACUCCAAAUUCAGCCUAAGGACUUGCAAAAACCUAUCUUCACCAUAAGAGAGUAUUGCAUUGAAUAGACAGACUAAAAAUGCAACCAUGUAGAUCAUUGUUACCAUUAAUAAAGUAGCUCUGGAUUUAACAGUUUCCUUUAUUAAGUACAAAGUGCCAGAAGUUUAAGAGUUCCCCAGGAAAAUUCUUUAAGCUACUUGAGCUAGUCACAUCACUCAACCCUUUGGUGAUCUGUACGAGCCACAGUAACGAGCUUCUAAAUAGUAGUCACCUUACCCAAAAUGUAGCAAGAAUACUAUGAGUCUAUGAUUAUCAAUAGUGUUGAAUUAACAACCCUUUGCAUUCGUCCCCAAAUAAAGAACCAAACUAUGGAAUUGGGGGAACUAGCUGUGAUUUUCCACUACCACAUAUACAUCAAUUGACUGAAUUCCUCAGGAAAUUAAGUUUUUUCCUGAACGAAAACAAAUUACUCCAUAUGCUUCAGAAAAGAAAAAAGAGAGAGUUCAUGUGACAUCAAGGUGUCAACAAUCGAGCAACCAAUUCUGCAUCAGGUUGACAUAAGGGAGACAACCAACACCACCUGCAGAGUUAUCACGCCCAAAACACCGUUGCACACAUGCUUCAUAGAUCUGGAAUGAACUCCAAAGAAAACUACAAAUGUCAAAACUAAUUUUUCUCCCCCAACAUCCUAUACUCGACUGAUACCAACCAGAGCAGCGGUAUUAAGUUGUUAUUGUCCAGGCCCUCGAAGCAACACCCACAGACUCAAUCUAGAAAACCUCGCCCGAGAUUGCCCAUGCCUCUGUACACCGUACACGAGCCUAAGCGCCGACCACCUCCAAUAAACGCACCGAACAAAGCAGAUUCAUUACACUAACCACCCAGAUUAAGAACCGCCGAUGGAGGAGAUUAAGCAACGCAUCGAACGCGUGCGGACACGAACAGUGCAAAUUCAACGGCGGCUCUCCCUGAUCCAACAGCGGGGAACCCAUCCACGAACAAUCCUAAGCGCGAGGGAUUACCACGCAUUACCGGAAACCAUCGAGGGCCGCGAGGUUACGGCGAGCCGAGGGACGAGGAACGGGCACGGUUAAGGACGAGGAGCA
rnacentral:lncRNA from 1 species